UACGUAUGGUGCAAGCGUUAUCCGGAUUUACUGGGUGUAAAGGGAGCGUAGGCGGCGCGUUAAGUCUGAUGUGAAAACCCGAGGCUCAACCACGGGAGUGCAUUGGAAACUGGCGGGCUGGAGUGCCGGAGAGGUAAGCGGAAUUCCUAGUGUAGCGGUGAAAUGCGUAGAUAUUAGGAGGAACACCAGUGGCGAAGGCGGCUUACUGGACGGCAACUGACGCUGAGGCUCGAAAGCGUGGGGAGCAAACAGG
rnacentral:rRNA from 1 species